GACGAACGCUGGCGGCGUGCCUAAUACAUGCAAGUCGAACGCACAGUUUAUACCGUAGCUUGCUACACCAUAGACUGUGAGUUGCGAACGGGUGAGUAACGCGUAGGUAACCUGCCUGGUAGCGGGGGAUAACUAUUGGAAACGAUAGCUAAUACCGCAUAAUAUUGAUUAUUGCAUGAUAAUUGAUUGAAAGAUGCUAUUGCAUCACUACCAGAUGGACCUGCGUUGUAUUAGCUAGUAGGUGAGGUAACGGCUCACCUAGGCGACGACACAUAGCCGACCUGAGAGGGUGAUCGGCCACACUGGGACUGAGACACGGCCCAGACUCCUACGGGAGGCAGCAGUAGGGAAUCUUCGGCAAGGGACGAAAGUCUGACCGAGCAACGCCGCGGGAGUGAAGAAGGGUUUCGGAUCGUAAAGCUCUGUUGUAAGAGAAGAACGGGUGUGAGAGUGGAAAGUUCACACUGUGACGGUAGCUGACCAGAAAGGGACGGCUAACUACGUG
rnacentral:rRNA from 1 species